AACAGAUGCUGCUGAUGAAGAAGAUGCUCUAUCAAGCUGGGUGCUCUGUCGCUUUCCUCUGGCUUAGCCCCUCCAGCCUGAUCUCAGAUUUACCUCUCCCUAGUGUCUUUGAACUGAGUCUUAAUACUGGUUUCAACUAUACUUCUACCUUUUGCCCUUUUAGAUGAUACAUUCCUAGUGCUUUCAGCUUCUAUCUAUAUUUGAGGAAAGGUAAAUAUACCCAGAGGUACUCAUUUAUUUUGUAAAAACAAAACAAAACAAAAACAUCUAUAGUACUGGUGGCAAUAUUUUACAUUUGAAUUUUAAAGCAAUCUUGCAAGCACUCCAAAAGAAGAAGGAAAAGAAGAAAGAGGAGGAGGAGGAGGAGAAAGAGGAGGAAGAGAAAAAGAAGGAGGAAGAGGAUUUCUGAAGAUAACUGCCUGGAGAAGAUGGAGAAGAGAAGAACAUUUAUUAACAUCUAAUCCUGUUAAGAUUUUCUACACCAUAUGCCUGAGGAAGAGAACAUGUGAAAUGUGUACUAAUUACUCCUGGUUUGUCAUGUGUGUACAUUUUCAAUGCAGUCCCUGACCUUUUUGUUAAUAACUUCACAUUAUAUUCAUUGACCUGAAACAAAUUGAAUUCA
rnacentral:lncRNA from 1 species